rnacentral:rRNA from 1 species
GACGAACGCUGGCGGCGUGCUUAACACAUGCAAGUCGAACGGAAAGGCCCUGCUUGCAGGGUACUCGAGUGGCGAACGGGUGAGUAACACGUGGGUGAUCUGCCCUGCACUUCGGGAUAAGCCUGGGAAACUGGGUCUAAUACCGGAUAGGAGCCAUUUUUAGUGUGAUGGUUGGAAAGUUUUUUCGGUGUAGGAUGAGCUGGCGGCCUAUCAGCUUGUUGGUGGGGUAAUGGCCUACCAAGGCGGCGACGGGUAGCCGGCCUGAGAGGGUGGACGGCGACAUUGGGACUGAGAGACGGCCCAGACUCCUACGGGAGGCAGCAGUGGGGAAUAUUGCACAAUGGGCGCAAGCCUGAUGCAGCGACGCCGCGUGGGGGAUGACGGCCUUCGGGUUGUAAACUCCUUUCGCUAGGGACGAAGCUUUUUGUGACGGUACCUAGAUAAGAAGCACCGGCUAACUACGUG